ACAUUUUUGUGGCGAGGCUACGGAAUCAGAAGGAACGUUUGUCUGGGCAACUGUGAGAUUUACACUUUUUCAUGCAGCCAACAAAGACAUUGGGGUUAACAUCGUCCCAAAUGGCUGGCAAAGAUGCUUAUAACUGUCAGUGUAGGACAGGAAAGGCAGGUAUAGGUUAGGGAGGGCAUCCAUCAGUGAGCUCUGACUAGAUGUGAGGACCUGUCACACUUGACCAGAGAUGAACGCUGCAGCACAUUCCUGGAUCAGAGGACUCCAUGUUGGACACCACGACCUGGAGAAGUCCCGUCCUGGAUGGCUGUGGUGAUGACCUAACCCGAGAUGAACCGACCCUUCUACGACGAGGAUUUUGCCCAAGAUGAACCGGCCCUUCUACGAAGAGGACUUCGCCCAAGAUGGACCGACCUUUUCCACGGGAUGUCUUCAGAUGCUGGACCUUGCCAAACUGUACUGGUUAAAUGGACUUUAACACCCCCGUCCCCACUGACCCACAACCACACAUGACAAAACACUGUACAUGUGAUGCAUCACCCUCUCUG